AAAAAAAACAAAAGGAAUUAUCUGCUAUCAUAAACCUCCAUCUCAUUUCCUGUUCUCUAUGCUUUACUGUGAAAGAAAAAAAAAGCCUUCUCCAAUCUAUUCACAAAUUUCUACCUUCAAAAGCUCCGCCUUCUUCUUCACAGGUAUAUGGUUUGUGAAUUCAAGGAUUUGGAAGGUGGAUACGGUGGAGGUUAUUGUUGCGCGGAGGUGAACGAUGAAGGGGAACAGAGGCGGUGGCUCGAUGAUGGUGGAUGA
rnacentral:lncRNA from 1 species